rnacentral:rRNA from 1 species
AUGCCCAACCACAGCUUGGACAAACGCCUCUUCCGCGAGCCCCGCGGGACAGGCUUGAUCUGGCGGCUUCGCUACAGCAUCGUCAACGACGUCGCCCGGGCGCUCUACCACCUGCACGUCACCAACGUUCCCCACGGGUCGAUCAAGGUGUCCAACGUCAUGCUCGAGCAAGACUUCGGCGCCCGGCUCCACGGGCACUUCGGCUACCAGCCCGACCAGAGCAACACGCCCCGAGGUUCGCUGGAGGUGGACAUGCUGGAAUUCGGUGUGCUGAUAUUGCAGGUCGUAUGUGGGCCCCAGGGGCGGAGCCAGGCUAACACCGCGCCCUGGGCCUGCUUCAUCGCCACAGUGUUCAACUGGGUUCAACAGUGCAAAAUCGCUACAGUCAACGAAGAAAUAAAUCUUCACGGCCGGGGAUCGCCGGCUGAACUGGUGGACUGGGUUUGGACGCUUCAAGGGGAAAGUCGCCUGCUCGAGGCGGUCGACCCAGCAGCGCGGGGCGACGACUUCAACUCUGCUCAGGCGACCAAGCUUCUACUCGUCGCCCUCUCGUGCACAUACCCGGACCCAGCGGCGCGGCUGACUAUCUAUGAGGUCCGCAGGAUCUUAUCGGACCAAGCUCCACUGCCAGAGGUUCCUCCAUCCAAACCCACCUGA